GUUGACCCCCCGUGUGGCGUCAUCUCGCCGAACUCCCCCAGGGCCGGAAGGCAGCAAGGGUAGGUGGGCUCUGACGGGUGCACGGGGGGUCACUCAU
rnacentral:SRP_RNA from 1 species